UUGAAACUGAGAGCUGGUUGGUGCCAGAACUUGAGGGAGACGGUGCCGUCAUUCCAGGCGACUCAGCCAAAGAUGGUGAAGAUGUUGGUGACUCGUCUGAAGAUGGCGAUGUUGGUGACUCGUCUGAAGAUGGUGAAGUCAUAGGUGUUCCAGCUGAUGGUGAAACUGCAUUCAUAUUAUCAAUCAUAUAUUAUACUUCUUAGCAUAAAUAUGAUCUACACAAAACAAAAAGCUGAGAAGGGAACUUACAUUUUUCACAAAAAAAUAAAUAAAUCAAUAUAGUUAUAAAUGUAAGCCUAAACUGAUUGAUGCAAAUGCAAUAUAAGUGAAAAAUGAAAACUGUGGUAUAUAAAAAUAUCAUGGAAUCUGAAUAGAUUAAUUGCAUUUGCUGGGAAAAUCUAACUACUAAACUAACUAACAAUACGCAAAUAACGUUCUAGCCUAAUAUGUAAAUUAUCUUUCAUUUCAUUUUUGUUUUCCUUUCUUCCCCAAAUUCAGUUUUGAUUACGAGUAUAAUAGAAGAAAAUAUAUCAUUUAUUAUAACAUAUUAAUAGAAGAAAAUAUAUCAUUUAUUAUAACAUAUCAAAAAUGUAGUUUACGUUUUAGUUAUUGCAAAUGCAAUACAAAUACUUGACAAUUAUAAUUCUAGUGACCCUCAAUGAAACAUGAAAUAUAUUUGUUACCAGAAAAUUUAAUAAAUAUACUAAAAACAAAACUGUAACUAAUAGAUUUUUAAUCAAACUGGAUAGAAUAUUAAAAAAAAAAGCUUCAAUCUUAAGUAUAAAACACAAUAAUUUAGUUAUCUAAGAAAAAAAAUGAAAAAUACUUAAUGAGUACUCGGAGACAUACCAGGAGUAGAUGCACCCGGUGCUGACGCGCCCGGUAUAGCUACACCAGCAAGAAAAAAUUAACUUCAUAACAUUGAAAACAAUACGCAAAAAACUAGGAAUGAGACACAUAAAAACUCACCACAAUGGGGAGCAGCAAUGGGGAGCUUGCAAGUCGUGGGCAUGGAAUGAGCUCUAGUGCUAUUAAUUUCAAUCCCCAUAUCUUUGGUACUCGCUAAGCCGACGCAAACACACUUAGGAUUAUAUUGUAAAACAGAUAGUAUUCCCCCACAACACACUUUCGUGGGACUGGUAUCAUUUGAUCCGGGGGUUAUGUACGAUAGACAAUCCAUCAUGUCAUAUAUUACGCUCGAGCAAUCAGAAUUUGACGGUCCUGGCGCCGGAGUUGCUACCGGUGAGGGAGACAUUGCGGAAUGUGAUUUGUUGCGGGCGUGGAUGGGAGCAAAUGAUGGUGAUAGUAGUACCAAGAUAGAAAGACAUAGAUAUUGCUUCAUUAUUGAUAUACUGUUUCUUUAAAAGUGCUUAUCACUAUUAUUUCUGUUGUUAGAUUUGUUUCAUGAUAAGAGAAGAGGAGGUUUAUAUAUAGAAAGUAAACUCGGAAAAUAAAAGGAUAGGAAUUUAUGAGUUUGUUUUUCUUGUUUUUAGGAUUUGAAUCCGGUUCCUGUUCCUUAUAUUUUGGGAGUUUAAAAAUCGAGUUUUUCUUGGGUUCACCUCCUAGGGUGGUUCACCAUCCACUAAUAAGUUGCCAGCUCAUAUCUAGUUUUUCAUAAAAAAAAGAAGGUAAAAUAUAAUUAGAAAUAUAAUUAUUAACUUAAAAAAAAGGAAAACGAAAAAAAGGAAACAAAAAAAAAAACAGAACACGGCGGCUUCUAACUUGUUUUGAUUUUCAAAUUAGUUUUUCAGUCUUAAAUUUAAGAAUCUAUCCUGUUAAUUUAAAUUCUUGCUUUUAUCUAAUGAUAAAAAUGUUACUAAAGUUCUAAAUGGUCCAAUAAAAUAUUUAUUCUAUUAAAACAGAGUCACAAAAAAUGUUAAUAUGACUUAUUCGAUUAUAUACAUUAAUAAAUUAAGUAUACAAUAUUUCUAUAAAAUACGAAUCAAUUAAAUAUACAAUAUUUCUAGAAAAUCUUAAUAAUUUAUAGAGGUACUAAUAAUAAAUAAAUUUUAUUUAGCUUAUAGAAAAUUAUGUGGAGAAAAAAUAUAACAAAAUCUUAUUUAAUAUUUUAAAUAUUAUUUUUAUUAGAUAAUAAAUCAAUUAAUUUCUUAAUUACUUAUAUAAAUAUAUUAUAAAUAAUGUUGAUUAUUAUUUUAUUAUAAACGAAAAGUAAAAAUUAAAUGCAAUUUAUAAAACAGUUUUAUGGCUUUUAUAUUUAUAGUUCAUAUAUUAUAUUUAAAUAGAAGUACUGUAUGAACUAAAUAUGAAAAAGUUAUAUUAAAUUGGUAAAUUAAUUUAUUUUAUUAUUAAAAGUAUUUUUAUUUAGAAAGUGAGACAACUAUAUAAUAUAUUUUGAUAACAGGAUGCAUGUUUCAUACAAAUAAUCAAAGAGAAGAUAACAGAGAUGUGUGUUUCACACGUUAACCCCUCGAUAUUAUACUUUCUUUUUGUUGAUGAUAACAUUUUUUUUUGUAAAGCAGAGCACCAUAAAUAUAAAUAAAUUAUGAAAAUAAUUAAAAAAAUAUAGAAAAAUUUCAGGUCAAUGCAUCGAUUUUGAUAAAUAAUCAUUACUAUUCAGGUUGGGUUGAGACAGGAAAACGAAUUGGCGAUGGAAAACAGUCAUAUGUAACUAAAAUCUAUCAUUUCCAUCAUAUUUUGUUGGUUUGGUAAAAACGAGGAAAAGUAUGAGGUAGAUAUAGACAGCUUCACAAGAAGAAGAAUUUAACUAUACUCUUCUCGGUGACAUAUAUCAAUAUAUGUGUGAUAAGACUGGUUAUAAAUACCAUUAAUUUUUAAUUAAGGUGAUGAUUGUUUUGUUAGAUUUUAGAUUUUGGUUUUUGGAUUUUGAUUUUUGGUUUUUAGUUUUUGGUUUUCAGUUUUUGGUUUUUGAUUUUGCAGUAGAUUUUGGUUUUUUGAAAAACUUGAUUGGUGGUUUUUGAUUUUGGUUUUUAGUUUCUGUUUUUUGCUUUUAAAACAAAAUAAAUUUUAAAUAUUAUGAAUAGUAAAAUAUCUAUUAUUGAAAAAAAACAAUACUAUCAUCAAAGCAUACAUAAUUUUUAAAAAAUAUAUUUUAAAAUAAAAAAUAACAUUAUCAUUGUAAAAUAAAAUUAAAAUAGUUACAUUUUAAAAAAUGGUAAAAAUAAAUAUUUAUGUUAUUCAAAUAUUUUAACAUAAAAACUAUUAGUUUUUAAAUAAAAAAAUAUUAUGUAAUAAAUGUAUAAUAACUAUAACUAACAAAUUUAAUUAACUUAAUGUAAAAUUUAUAGUAUAAAUUAUUAAUGUUUCCCAAGAUGUAAUACAUGUGCUAACAAUGUGUUUACACAUUUACAAAUCAAUGAAAUAAUAUACUUCAAUAGCCUUUUUCUUAUCUUUGGAUCUCCCAUAUGCAAUAUUAAACUCCAAUGGCUUUCUUCUCAUCUUAAUAAAAAAGAAUGUUGGUAGCCUCAUAUUGAUACAACAUUUUAAGAAGCAUUUUAACCCUUCUUCCAACUCAUAACAAUAAUCAUCAUUGGUGUUUAUAACAAUAAUACUUAAGAGAUGGAAACAAACAAUAGUAACUAGUCAAAGCAUAUAACAUUUUUUACAAGUUUGUGUUGAAAAACUUAGUCAAAUUUAGUAAAACUAAGGGAGAAAACAUAUUUUGAAAAUAUGAGUUUUACAUAUCUUGAAGUUAUUUAUCACUCUUAAAUAUACAAGUUAUUCAAACACUAGCGUAGAAGACUUCUACGGAAGUCUUCUCGGAUCAGUUAGAAACUUUAAUUAACGUGAAUGUUGGUAACUUCAUAAAUAUCACCAAUUAAGUUAUAAAUUUUAUUCAGUAGCCCUAAUAUUGACUAAUAUACAUGAAUUAACAAAAAAAUAUUAAAAAGUCUUUAUAAGUUUAGAGAAAAUGAAAGUUUAUUAAACAUUGACGCAGACGACUUCCACGGAGGUCGUCUGAGUCGUCCAUUUAGGUUAGUUUUGCAAUUGAUUUUUAACCUAGACGAUUUACAUGUUAGUCGUCCACCUUUGUUUGUAAGUCGUUUAGGGAAAACGGGUUAGUUUUGCAUUUGACCGGAAUGUGUCAGAAAUUUGACUUUUCCUGGACGACUUACAAGUUAGUCUUCCAGUAGAAAAUUAAAAAAAAAAUAUAUUUUUUUUUUCCUAGAUGACUAACUUGUAAGUCGUUCCAGGUUAGUUUUGCAAUUGAAUUAUUAAACAAAAAAAUUGUUUUUUCUAGACGACUUACACGUUAGUCGUCUCGAGUUUUUUUCCUAGACGACUAACAUGUAAGUCGUCCAAGAUAAGCAAGGUUUGACCAGAAUCACGGAAUAAAAUCCUGGACGACUUAGAUGUAAGUCGUCGAACGGACGACUUCCGUGUAAGUCGUCUAGAAAAAAAUUCUUAUUUGUUUAAUAUUUCAAUUGCAAAACUAACCUGAGAUGAGGAAAAGUCAAAAUUUUAACACAUUCUGGUCAAAUGCAAAACUAACCCGUUUUCCCUAGACGGUCUCGAUUUUUUUUCUAUCAAACAAAGGUGGACGACUAACCUGUAAGUCUAGAAAAAAUAAAUUAAAAGUUAAUUGCAAAAAUAACCUCUACAUUGACCAGACGACUUCCAGGUAAGUUGUCUACAGCCAGAAAACUUACCUGUAAGUCGUCUGGACGAACAUAUCUGGAAAAAAUCUCAAUUUCAUAGUUUCAACCAGUCAGAUAACUUGUUUAGCACAUAUAAGUCUUUUCCAAACACCCAGAAUCUCAAACAAAAGUGACCCACCAAGAAUCACAAGCUUCAAUGGAUUUAUGAACCAUAAAAAUUUUAGAAUCAAAAUCUUGGGAUUUUUUUGGAUGAAUAUGGAGAGAAAGUGAAAGAAAUGUUGUUUUUAGUUGAUAAGAAUUGAGAAAAAGAAGUGUAAAUCGAUUUGAGGUGCAUUAAGAGCUUCAAAUUGGUUGUUCAUGGUGGUUGAUGUAUUGAUGGUAAUGACAUUCUUGUAAAUACAUGAAGAUGAUGAGGUUGAGAGAGUAAAAAUGUAAUUUCGAAAAAAGAAAAAAAACUAAUGGCAUUUCGUAAAUAAUGUGAACUUGUGGGGUGAAUAGGACAAAAGAAAAAAAAACAUAGGUUAGUUUUGUGGUUGACUUCAUGUUUUGAGUCAAUUUUGUAAAAACCCCUAUUUUCAAUGGUGAAACGUGCUUAAUUGACCUUUAAAACCUCAUUAAUCCCUUAAACAUUAUUUGCAAAAUGAUUUGCAUAUGUGGCAUAUCUACAUUCAUUUUCGACAAGAAAAAAUGACAUGUCUUUUGAAAAUUAUGACAUGACAUCAAUCUAAUUAUAACAUGUAUAAUUUUUCGUAUAAAACUUUAUAUUUUCUGGAAAUGUUUUUAAUUUAUGGUCAUGAUUAAUAACUCUUAUAUCAUCAUUAAUGUAAACUUUUUGUAUAAAUAUUUUUAAGGCAAGACUAUAGAAAUGUAUUAUUAACUGAUAACUCAUAUAUCACAAUUUCUCUAAACAUUAUUUGCGAAUUUAUUUGAAUAUAUGUCAUCACCACAUUAAAUCUCAACAAGUAAAGAUGACAUGAAUUUUGAAAAAUGUGACAGCCCAUCAAUCUAAUUAUAAAAUUUACAAUUUCCAUAUAAAACUUUAUAUUUUUGCAAUGUUUUAAAAUAUGGUAAUGAUUAAUAAAUCUUAUAUCGUCAUUAGUGUAAACUUUUCUACAAAUAUUUUUAGCAAAAAAAUUGAAGUAUAUUAAUAACUGAUAACUCAUAUAUCAUCUUUAAAGUAAUAUAUAUAGCAAGUUAAUAAAAAAGAAAAUAAGUAGUGACAAAUAUAUAUAUAUAUAUAUAUAUAUAUAUAUCAAUUAAUAUAUCAUAUUUUGUUUAAAUUUGUAUGUAUAUAUUAUUAAAAUUAAUUGUAAGUGUAACGUUAACAAAUAAAAAACUAAAGAAACACUCAUCAAAAAAAAUUUGUUGAUAAUUAAAUGAUAAAAUGUUAUUUAAAUUUAUAUAUUAUUAAUUUACAUAUUUAUUUUAAUGUAUUUGAACUAUAACAAAAAGGCAGAAUUUAUUAAUAUUUAUAUAUUUAAAUAAAUACAUAUUUAAAACUAAAGAAUAAGAGAAAUAUUUAGAAUAAAUAAUCAUUAAAUAUAAUAUAAUAUUAACAAAUUAUUUUAUAAAAUAUAAUUUUAACUUUACUAAAAUUUAAACAAAAUUAAACUGAAAUAGUUAAACCUAAUUAAAAGAAACAGGACUACAAAAAAAUAAAUUGAAGAUUUAUUCUAAACCGAUUGAGUUAGAAUAUAAAAUAAUAAUAUAAGUAAAUUUUAAAAUAAAAUAAAAUUGUAUGAUAUUUAAAAUUAUUAUUUCUGCUCAUGGAAAACUCCUAGUACAUUUAACAUUACAGCGAACAUCGAUUUGUAGAAAUAAGGAUCCAUCAUAUAACUUUAUCCCCUCACAAAUCCCUAAAUUCCUAUCUUAAUCUCCAAAUUCUCUAUUCAAAAUAGUCUAUUUAUCUACCUCUCAAUCUAAGACAAUGAAGGUCCACAAGACUAAACUAAGAACGUUGUGGCGUAAUACUGAUUUGGGGUUAUAUCAAGUGGAUUUUAUUUUAGAGAAAUCAAGCACAAAUCCAAUAUCUAUUGAGUUGGGAAAUUUGAAAUUUCCAUUUCUUGAUAUCGUGUUUGGUUUGGCACACGAACAACUUGAGAUAAAGAAGUUGAUUCUUGAGCUAUAGAGAAAAGGUAUCUUGUAUAUUCAUAACAGUGGCAUUUGAUGUAACAGAGAUUUUGUUUGAAUAAAAUUUUACAUUCGUUCAAAAAAAAAGAAAUUUGAAAUUUCAGGAUAUUGUGCAGUUGUACACAUAUUUGAUUUUCUUGAGAAAGCAGGACACAAAAUUCAAGCAUAUAAAAAAUUUGAUUAACCAAGAACAUCAAAUUAAAACAGCAUCAGUCAUGAAAUCUCAACAAUAAAAUGUCAAACGCAGUAAAAAUAUAUAUGAGAUGUGAAAAAUACAAUUAAUUAGAAAAAACCCAAAAUGUAUGUUAUAGAAGACACGAUAAUGGCAAAGAGGGUCAGUGUUGAAACUGAGAGCUGGUUGGUGCCAGAACUUGAGGGAGACGGUGCCGUCAUUCCAGGCGACUCAGCCAAAGAUGGUGAAGAUGUUGGUGACUCGUCUGAAGAUGGCGAUGUUGGUGACUCGUCUGAAGAUGGUGAAGUCAUAGGUGUUCCAGCUGAUGGUGAAACUGCAUUCAUAUUAUCAAUCAUAUAUUAUACUUCUUAGCAUAAAUAUGAUCUACACAAAACAAAAAGCUGAGAAGGGAACUUACAUUUUUCACAAAAAAAUAAAUAAAUCAAUAUAGUUAUAAAUGUAAGCCUAAACUGAUUGAUGCAAAUGCAAUAUAAGUGAAAAAUGAAAACUGUGGUAUAUAAAAAUAUCAUGGAAUCUGAAUAGAUUAAUUGCAUUUGCUGGGAAAAUCUAACUACUAAACUAACUAACAAUACGCAAAUAACGUUCUAGCCUAAUAUGUAAAUUAUCUUUCAUUUCAUUUUUGUUUUCC
rnacentral:lncRNA from 1 species